rnacentral:piRNA from 1 species
UAAAGAUUCCCUAAGGAGGUUACUGA